CAGCAGCCGCGGUAAUACGAAGGGGGCUAGCGUUGUUCGGAUUUACUGGGCGUAGAGCGCACGUAGGCGGAUCCUUAAGUCAGAGGUGAAAUCCCAAGGCUCAACCUUGGAACUGCCUUUGAUACUGGGGAUCUCGAGUCCGGGAGAGGUGAGUGGAACUGCGAGUGUAGAGGUGAAAUUCGUAGAUAUUCGCAAGAACACCAGUGGCGAAGGCGGCUCACUGGUCCGGUACUGACGCUGAGGUGCGAAAGCGUGGGGAGCAAACAGGAUUAGAGACCCGAGUAGUCCCUGUCUCUUAUAC
rnacentral:rRNA from 1 species